AUAACUUCGGGAAACCGGAGCUAAUACGAUAAUAUUUCGAACCGCAUGGUUCGAUAGUGAAAGGUGGUUUUGCUAUCACUUAUAGAUGGACCCGCGCCGUAUUAGCUAGUUGGUAAGGUAACGGCUUACCAAGGCGACGAUACGUAGCCGACCUGAGAGGGUGAUCGGCCACACUGGAACUGAGACACGGUCCAGACUCCUACNGGGGAGGCAGCAGUU
rnacentral:rRNA from 1 species